GUGAAGAACGUAGCGAAAUGCGAUACGUAAUGUGAAUUGCAGAAUUCAGUGAAUCAUCGAGUCUUUGAACGCACAUUGCGCCCCCUGGUAUUCCGGGGGGCAUGCCUGUCCGAGCGUCAUUGCUGCCCUCAAGCACGGCUUGUGUGUUGGGCCUCCGUCCUCCUCCCGGGGGACGGGCCCGAAAGGCAGCGGCGGCACCGCGUCCGGUCCUCGAGCGUAUGGGGCUUCGUCACCCGCUCUUGUAGGCCCGGCCGGCGCUUGCCGACACAUCAAUCUUUUUUCCAGGUUGACCUCGGAUCAGGUAGGGAUACCCGCUGAACUUAAGCAUAUCAAAACGGAGGA
rnacentral:misc_RNA from 1 species